UACGAGGGGGGCAAGCGUUGUUCGGAAUUACUGGGCGUAAAGCGUGCGCAGGCGGCUUCUCAAGUCAGGGGUGAAAGCCCAGAGCUCAACUCUGGAAUUGCCUUUGAGACUGAGUGGCUUGAGUACGAGAGAGGUGAGUGGAAUUCCCAGUGUAGAGGUGAAAUUCGUAGAUAUUGGGAAGAACACCGGUGGCGAAGGCGGCUCACUGGCUCGUAACUGACGCUCAUGCACGACAGCGUGGGGAUCAAACAGG
rnacentral:rRNA from 1 species